CCCUCCCUCCCUUCCCACCCCGCCGGCCGGCCGGCCUCCCUUCUGCACUUUGGUGUUUUUGCUUACUCAACUCUAAGGCAACCUGAGAAGUAGCAAGGAACAAAAUCUGCUUCCUGGUCAUGCAGCUUGCAAUAAACUACUUGCGCACUGGUCCAGGCAUGGGAUGCUGGCCGGCCACUCGUCCCGCCGGCCGGCCGCUUCACCACUCUGCAAUGAGGAGAC